rnacentral:rRNA from 1 species
UACGGGGGGGGCAAGCGUUGUUCGGAAUUACUGGGCGUAAAGGGCUCGUAGGCGGCUCGCUAAGUCAGACGUGAAAGCCCUCGGCUUAACCGGGGAACGGCGUCUGAGACUGGCAAGCUUGAAUCCGGGAGAGGGGUGCGGAAUUCCAGGUGUAGCGGUGAAAUGCGUAGAUAUCUGGAGGAACACCGGUGGCGAAGGCGGCAUCCUGGACCGGUAUUGACGCUGAGGAGCGAAAGCCAGGGGAGCAAACGGG